UUUUUAGCGCCGCUGUCGGGGACCAAUAAUUUAAUAUUGUUAUUCUAUUUAUUGUCUGUUUAAACUAAUAAUUUUAUGUUUUUUUAUUUUAUUUAUUUUCUCGUUCUUUGUUGGAUGCGAAGAAUCCAUAGUUUAGGGAACCUCGCUGAACCGAUAAACAAAAUUGAGCAUUAUUUCCCCGAAAGACACCGAUCACAACAAUUAGUAAUAGUUGAAGUCAAUGAUAAUUUCCCGCUUAAAGAGUAU
rnacentral:lncRNA from 1 species